UACAGAGGUCUCAAGCGUUGUUCGGAUUCAUUGGGCGUAAAGGGUGCGUAGGCGGCGCGGUAAGUCGGGUGUGAAAUUUCGAGGCUUAACUUCGAAACUGCAUUCGAUACUGCCGUGCUUGAGGACUGGAGAGGAGACUGGAAUUUACGGUGUAGCGGUGAAAUGCGUAGAUAUCGUAAGGAAGACCAGUGGCGAAGGCGGGUCUCUGGACAGUUCCUGACGCUGAGGCAACGAAGGCCCAGGGGAGCAAACGGG
rnacentral:rRNA from 1 species